rnacentral:lncRNA from 1 species
GGAUUCCGGUUGCAUGUAUGUUAGACAUCCUGAUUUGUCCCAGAAGUCACUAAUGUUUUGUUCACUUUUUAAAGGUUUUUUUUUUUUCCUCCCUGUUAAACAUUUUGGAUUGUGUAUUUUGCAACACAUUCAUCUUCAGGUUCAUCUAUCUUUCCUUCUGCAGUGUCUAAUCUGCUACUGAUUUCAGAGAGACAGCAGUGAGUGAUGGCUGAAAGCGAGAUCUUAAUUCUCUGCUCAGGAAUUGAACCUGUGCAGCCUGGGUGAAAACCAGGAAUCCUAACUACUAGCUAGAGGCUAAAAACAGAAUUUCCCUGAUUGAAAGCAAAAAUGUUUCAAGGAGGCAAAGAUUGUGAAUAAAAAAGAAUAAAGGUACAAAAGUUCAUUGUUAAAAGCACAGUACAACAUGUGAGAGAGAAGAAGUCUGUUUAUUGAAGGCAGAAGCAAAGCAGUAACACACACCAAAAGGAGCACAGGUGUGGGCAUCCCCCUGAAUGAGGAGGGCACCUGAGAGGUGAUUUAAGGCCAAAAGAGGUGGGCAGUUCUUCUGGGUCUCUUUUUUCCUUUGGCCAAGUAUCUCAUUUUAUUUCUCACACCUGACCAGACCCAGGGCCCUCCCUCAUAUGCGAGUGCAUCUUUUGGCCAAGAUGGAUUCCAGCACAAGGCCUUGUGGGAAGGUUAGCUGGAUUUACUAUGGCCUGGAGUCCCCUCCCUUUCUGACCCAGAGGGAUAUCUCUGUGCAUGUGGUGUUGGGGUCUCCCUGACCCCAAGGAUGGGAAGGAGGUGACCUCUUGGUCUUUCGCCCAAGGAGGGUUUAGCCCCUCUCUGCCCCUGCCAUUACCACUGCUUAAGUGUUCAUAGAAAACAAAUUCCAGUAACAGACCUUGUGCCCAUUGUUAUUUCUAUCUUGAAAUAUAAACAGUUGGCUGGCUGUUAAUGUCUAUCCUGGAGCCCACCUAUCUGCUGCCCCACUACCACUCCCGUCUGGGGUAGGAGGAGAUAUUGUGCAAAAGGAUCGAGAUGGGAGGCAUCUGGGGGAUGCUGGGAGCUGCAGGGGUCCAGAGGGUUCUCACCAUGCUUGGCUUCAGCUCAGCCUGUGGAGCAGGGAAAGUCUGUAUUCUGGUCAGACAUGUGGAUCCCUUGUGGGAAACUUAAUGGACAUAUAGCUAUUUCUUGACUGUGAACUCUCUCCCCAGAGGGUCAAAUUCUCUUCCCUUUCACUACACAAAGGGAAUAGUCAUCUUCCCAUCUCUCUCAGAGCCAGCCUCCUACUCCCAUCUGAUGGGAAAUAGCUCCGAGACUGCACAACGCCACAGUGGACCACCCAGCAAUUCCCUCUAUGCAACAGAGCCGCUUAACUCGACUGCUCUGAAUGAUGAAGAAAUCUAAGCUGUGUGAGAACAUAACAGGAAAUGCCCUUUGCCAAACCUUCUGUGCUGGUAUCCUUGGGAUGUGAAUGAAUUGAACAAUCCCUUCCUUCAUGAUUGACAUUCUAAUAAUUUCUCUCAAAGUACUUUUAAGGGAUGGGUCCUAAAAAAAUUCAUCCUGAGGAUGAGGCAAAUGUAGUGUUUCUUUAAUUCAGUGUGCACGUCAUUUCAGUAUGUCUUCCGAUGGCUCUGUAUCUGUGAUUCACCAUUCGUAAUUGUCCUGCAAGAAAACGUGCAAGGGAUAAGGCCAAGGACCUUCCAGAAAAACUGACUUAUGCUAUCUUGAGAACGUUUAGCACCUAUACUAAAUAAAUGUCUGUGGAGGAGCAUAUGUGGGUUUAGGUGUGAUUCCAUGAAGGGAGUUUCUAAAGAUACUGGGGUACCCAGACACUCAUGACUCUGACCCUGUUGCUCACCAGGGUCGAAAUAACCUGAACCAGUCGAGAAGACCAACUCGGCCAGCCUGUGUUGGCUGAGUAAGUUCUUAAAAUCUGGAGCUUAGAAUUAAAGCUAGAACAGUGUGCCUUGUGUUGUGUACUCAAUCAUUUCAAGAAAAUGAAUAUCAUUUUUUUGUGAAUAGCAUCAUUUUUCAAUUAGGCACUAGGUGAAUAAUAUAUGUUUAAUAAAUUCACUCUAAUUGGUACUCUCAUGAAUCCUUCCAACACAAUGGACGACUUAGGAGGAAAACAAACUGUGAAUGUUAUGAUCAAGUACUUGGGCAGGUUAAACUAACAACCUUGACAUCUGUAGAAAUUAAGUGAUCAAAUGGUCGGAUGCUGCCAAAGGAACCUGCCAGGCAGGGCAGAACUUGAGUGAAGUGUGGUGGAAGAGACCUGGGCUCUAGACCUGCCAGUUACGGUUAAGGGGGCUUUGCAAAUCAUUUAAUAUUCUCAGUUUGUGGCUUCUCCUUUUAUAAAACAGUUAUAAUACUUGUCUCAAAGGGUGCUGAGAAUAUUAAAGAACAUAACAUACUCAAUGAUCCUUUAUAGAUUGUAAGACCCAGUUACUACGGAGGGGCAAGAUUUCAAGGAAAACAGAGGUUCUUGGGGGUGCUGUUGGCAGAGCAGAGGUUUGGGGGUGGAGCGCCUAGAGGGUGGUUGGUCCUUGGGGAGGUGGGAGAGCAUCCUUGGCUACAGGGAUGAUGUGACUGAUGGAUCUGUGCCACUGGGAAGCAGCCUGCUUCUCCCUUGGGAAUGCUCCCCGUUCUCUCUCUCAAGGGCACCCUUCUCUAAGCCGCAGGGAGGAGGGUAACAAGACAGCCCUACCAAGGCACAGCAUCUGGACCAUUCCUGCCUGAGGGCAAGAGGGGGUCUGUGACUUGGAUUAAAGAUGAAAGUUGGAUCUAGAGCAGGGGGCUCUCAACACUGAUGACCCAUCUCAGUCACUCAGGACAUGGCAGGAGUUUCUACCCGAUGGCUGCCCGGGAACGCAGGAGCUCUAGUGUCCUUGAGGAGGGGACUGGAAGAUCUGACACCUUGUUGGUGUACCAGAAACUUCUGUUUCCUGCCCACAUCCUUAGAAUGCCAGGGCUCCGGCAGGUGAAGGCUUUGGCCACACUCUGCAAGGGGUGCACAGGCCGCCCCGAGCAGGGUGCCUGGCACAGCUCCCAGGUUCACCUGCACGGGUCCUUGAGUGUCCUUGCUGCCCAUGCCUAUCCCGCCCAGCUCUCUGCACCACCUGCACAACUGAGGGAAGAAAGUGGGUCCAAAUACUCCCACGCAUGUCAGAGCUAUUAUUACUACUAACAAUGUCACUCUCCAUCCACCUUAAUCUCAUCAGACCCACUGCUAUUUUAAAAUUUUGUUUAGUGUCUGUCACCUCCACUGGAAGGUAAGCAAGGACCUUUUGAGUGUCACUCUGCACGAACGUGCUUUUUGCACAAAGUUGGCACUGAAAUGAAAUGCAAUGUAUGAAUAAAUGACUCAAUAGCUCCCGUUUACUGGGAACUUAGUAUGUGCCAGGCCCUUUCUGUCUAUUAGCCCAUUUAAUUCUCACAACAGCUCCACGAGGAAAGUGCUGUUAUUUAGUCCCAUUUUAGGGCAGAGGAAGCUGAAAUUCUGAGAGGUUCAGACAUCUGCCCAAGGUCACAGAGGCAGUAAGAAGUGGAGCUAGGGCUUGAACUCACUGAUUUCCAGCUCCAAAGGCCAAGCUCUUAGCAAAAAUAUGGUACUAAUUCCUAUCACUGGGGAUGGGACAGGAACCUAGCCUCAGCAGGAAUUGGCUGCAAAUCUGGUUUUACUCUGGCACAAAAUAGUAGUGUGGCUGAAAUAGAAUUCUUUCUUUUCCUUUUUUUUUUUUUUUGCCUUUUAGGACUGCACCCAUGGCAUAUGGAGGUUCCGAGGCUAGGGGUUGAAUUGGAGCUAUAGCUGCUGGCCUAUACCACAGCCACA